UACGUAGGGGGCAAGCGUUAUCCGGAUUUACUGGGUGUAAAGGGAGCGUAGGCGGCCUGCCAAGUCUGAUGUGAAAUACCGGGGCUCAACCCCGGGGCUGCAUUGGAAACUGGCAGGCUGGAGUGCCGGAGAGGCAGGCGGAAUUCCUAGUGUAGCGGUGAAAUGCGUAGAUAUUAGGAGGAACACCAGUGGCGAAGGCGGCCUGCUGGGCUUUUACUGACGCUGAGGCUCGAAAGCGUGGGUAGCAAACAGG
rnacentral:rRNA from 1 species